AGGACGAACGCUGGCGGCGUGCUUAACACAUGCAAGUCGAGCGGAAAGGCCCUUCGGGGUACUCGAGCGGCGAACGGGUGAGUAACACGUGAGUAAUCUGCCCAUCGCUUCAGGAUAGCCAUCGGAAACGGUGAUUAAUGCUGGAUAUGACAUUCCUUCGCAUGUUGGGGUGUGGUAAAGUUUUUUCGGCGGUGGAUGUGCUCGCGGCCUAUCAGUCUUGUUGGUGGGUAAUGGCCUACCGAGGUCUUUGACGGUAGCCGGCUGAGAGGGUGACCGGCCACGACGUGGGACUGGAGACCACCGGCCCAGACCUCCGUAGGGACGCAGCGAGGUGGGAAUGUGCACUAAGUGGGAC
rnacentral:rRNA from 1 species